rnacentral:misc_RNA from 1 species
GAUGAAGAACGUAGCGAAAUGCGAUAAGUAAUGUGAAUUGCAGAAUUCAGUGAAUCAUCGAAUCUUUGAACGCACCUUGCGCCCUUUGGCCAUUCCGAAGGGCAUGCCUGUUUGAGUAUCAUGAACACCUCAACUCUCAUGGCUCGCCAUGAUGAGCUUGGAUUUGGGGGUCUUGCUGGCCUGUGGUCGGCUCCUCUCAAAUGGAUCAGCUUGCCAGUGUUUGGUGGCAUCACAGGUGUGAUAACUAUCUGCGCUUGUGGUUUUCCAUCAGAUAACCUUCCGUGAUGGAGGUUCGCUGGAGCUCAUAAACGUCUCCCCUAAGCGGGGACAGCCCUUUGAAUGUUUGAUCUCAAAUCAGGUAGGACUACCCGCUGAACUUAAGCAUAUCAAUAAGCGGAGGA